rnacentral:lncRNA from 1 species
AAGAUUUUAUGGGAAUACCAUUCAUUUUUAUUAUACAAUUUUGACUAAAUAAUUAAAUAAAUGUAUAAAUGUGCAUGUGUAUAUAUGAAUGGUAAAACAGUGACCCAUUGUGUACCUACUACUCUGCUUAAGAAUAAAGUAUUGCUAUUAAUUUUAAAGUCCUUCUUUAAAAUUACUGUUCUCCUCUAUCCCAUCCUCUUCCUCUGCUCCUCAGGUGGAUUCCGUCCUCCAAUUUGUUUUAAUCACUCUCUUUAACUUCUUUAAAGUUUUAACCCACCUAUUUCUAGCCCCAAAAUAUAUAUUUUAUGUUUUUCCUGUAUUUGUUCUCUACAUUCUGUAUGUCUUCUUCUGCUGCUUACAUUUUCUUCCUCACUUUAUGUACCUGAGAUUCAGCCAUAUCAUUACGUGUCAUUAUAGUGUAUUAAUUAUCAUUAUCAUUGUAUGACUCUACAACAAUUUAUAUAUCUGCUCUAUCAUUGAUGGGCAUUUGGGUUAUUUCCAGUCAUUUGCUAUUAUAAACAUUCUGCCAUGAGCAUCCUUAGACAUAUUUGCUGGUCCAUAGGUAAAAUAAUUCAUCUAGGGUACAUUUUAGUGUUAAAACUUGCUGGGGUAUAGGAUAUGCACAUUUCUAAAUUUUCUAGGUAACAAUAAAUUGUUUUUCCAUGUAGCCAUAUUACUAGCAGUAUGUCAUGUCCUGGUUGCCUUAGGUCCUCCUCAACACUUGAUAUUGUCAGAUUUUGAAUUUUUAAGCAUGUUUGUAGCUUUAAAAUGAAAUUUACUUGAAACUUCACCAGGCCAGAGGAAGGAUGCCCAAUGCUGAGGAAGUGACAAAAACUUGAGCCCAUGUUCUGACUUAGGAAUGCCUUGAGCUGGAUUGAGGCAGCAGAAGUGGGAUUGGAAUCAAAUGAAUUAAGAAGCAAUGACUCUGGAGCAAGUUUCCUUGUCUUUGUGUGGCAGCCAGGAAAUUAUCGAAAAAAUAAGUAGACUUGCAUUUCAGGAAUUUGAUUGCAAACAUUUUAGAAAUGCAUAUCGAGUGCCCAGAUAAUGCCUGGGUUGCCUUCACCAUGAAGAAACAUAAUCUAAAUUAUGACUCUGCUGACUUGACCAUUUUCCACAUAUUUGUACUCUAUUUUUUUAAUCUUCUGUCCUCUAACCCUUAAUCGAUGUCAGGACAGUCCUUUCCUCUAUCCUGUGUGUUCUUGAUCUGACAAUCUACAGAACUGAACAUUCUGCAAAUGCAGAAGGGGAUUUUGCAUUUUUAGCACUCUUGCAAAUCAACUAGGCUUAAAUUAUGAGGAUUUUUGCCUAAUAAUUCUC